ACGCUCGACACCUACGGGAGCAGCAGUGGGGGAUAUUGCACAAUGGGGGAAACCCUGAUGCAGCAACGCCGCGUGAAGGAAGACGGUUUUCGGAUUGUAAACUUCUGUUCUUAGUGACGAUAAUGACGGUAGCUAAGGAGAAAGCUCCGGCUAACUACGUGCCAGCAGCCGCCGUAAUCUGAGCGGGCUGGCAAGGC
rnacentral:rRNA from 1 species